rnacentral:rRNA from 1 species
UACGUAGGUGGCAAGCGUUGUCCGGAAUUAUUGGGCGUAAAGCGCGCGCAGGUGGUUUCUUAAGUCUGAUGUGAAAGCCCACGGCUCAACCGUGGAGGGUCAUUGGAAACUGGGGAACUUGAGUGCAGAAGAGGAAAGUGGAAUUCCAAGUGUAGCGGUGAAAUGCGUAGAGAUUUGGAGGAACACCAGUGGCGAAGGCGACUUUCUGGUCUGUAACUGACACUGGAGGCGCGAAAGCGUGGGGAGCGAACAGG